rnacentral:lncRNA from 1 species
AAAAAAGAAGAAAGAUGUAAAAAAAUAUCAGUUUCCACUUGAGACAUUGUGCAAAAAAUGCCAGAAAAAUCCUAUGCAAAAGACGUCAAGAUUUAUCGAUCCAAAAGAUAUAGUGCAGACAAUACAACAAAGAUGCAGGAAGAAUCCUACAUGAAGAAGUCAAGAUCUUAUUGGCGCACAAAGGUAUAAUCCUCUAUAACACAUCCCUACAAUUCUCAGAC